GGAAGCCGGUGAGAGCCCGGCGCGGUCGCGCCACUGUAAUCGGCAUCUUCAUCAAGCCGAAAGCCAGAC
rnacentral:ncRNA from 2 species